UACGUAGGGUGCAAGCGUUAAUCGGAAUUACUGGGCGUAAAGCGUGCGCAGGCGGUUAUGCAAGACAGAUGUGAAAUCCCCGGGCUCAACCUGGGAACUGCAUUUGUGACUGCAUGGCUGGAGUGCGGCAGAGGGGGAUGGAAUUCCGCGUGUAGCAGUGAAAUGCGUAGAUAUGCGGAGGAACACCGAUGGCGAAGGCGGAUCUCUGGACGGCCCCUGACGCUGAGGCGCGAAGGCUAGGGGAGCAAACGGG
rnacentral:rRNA from 1 species